GACGAACGCUGGCGGCGUGCUUAACACAUGCAAGUCGAACGGAAAGGCCCUGCUUUUGUGGGGUGCUCGAGUGGCGAACGGGUGAGUAACACGUGAGUAACCUGCCCUUGACUUUGGGAUAACUUCAGGAAACUGGGGCUAAUACCGGAUAGGAGCUCCUGCUGCAUGGUGGGGGUUGGAAAGUUUCGGCGGUUGGGGAUGGACUCGCGGCUUAUCAGCUUGUUGGUGGGGUAGUGGCUUACCAAGGCUUUGACGGGUAGCCGGCCUGAGAGGGUGACCGGCGACAUGGGGACUGAGGUACGGCCCAGACGCCUACGGGAGGCAGCAGGGGGGAAUAUUGCGCAAUGGGCGGAAGCCUGAUGCAGCAACGCCGCGUGCGGGAUGACGGCCUUCGGGUUGUAAACCGCUUUCGCCUGUGACGAAGCGUGAGUGACGGUAAUGGGUAAAGAAGCACCGGCUAACUACGUG
rnacentral:rRNA from 1 species